UUUUUUUACCGGCCUUCUAGUUUUCCUCUCCUCCUCCCCGCAGGUGGCUGCGGCGCAGAAUACUCUUGGAGGACAAAGAACCUUCCCACUUUUCAUCUCUCGUCCCAUCAUAUUCUGGCAUUGAAAUUCCUUCUUUGGGCGCAAAGCUGCUGCGGAUCGAUUGAGCUGCUGAGCCGUCUUCGUCAAUGGCGCUUGGACGCCUCCUUCAAAGGGCUUCGAUCAACCAGAUUUCCAGCAGGAUUUUUCCUGCUUUUGAAAGAUCUUUCUCCGCUGCUGCUUCCCCCAGCGAACCCAUCCGUGCCACUCUCUUCCCCGGUGAUGGAAUUGGGCCUGAGAUCGCAGACUCUGUUAAGCAUGUGUUCAAUGCAGCACAAGUUCCAAUAGAAUGGGAGGAACAUUUUGUGGGUGACAAGGUCGAUCCUAGAACAGAGAGCUUUUUAACAUGGGAAAGUCUGGAAUCAGUGCGAAGAAACGGCGUUGGCUUGAAAGGCCCUAUGGCUACUCCCAUUGGAAAGGGUCACCGGUCACUGAACCUUACCUUGAGGAAAGAACUUGGUCUCUAUGCCAAUGUUAGACCUUGCUACAGCCUUCCUGGCUAUAAAACUCGAUAUGAUGAUGUAAAUCUUGUGACAAUUCGUGAAAAUACAGAAGGAGAGUAUAGUGGCCUUGAACACCAGGUGGUGAGAGGUGUUGUAGAAAGUCUGAAGAUCAUUACUCGUCAAGCAAGUUUAAGGGUCGCAGAAUAUGCUUUCCAUUAUGCCAAAGCAAAUGGCCGCCAGCGAGUGUCUGCCAUACACAAGGCCAACAUCAUGAGGAAGACUGAUGGUCUUUUUCUGAAGUGUUGCCGUGAGGUUGCAGAGAAGUACCCUGAGAUAACUUACGAGGAAGUCAUCAUUGACAACUGUUGUAUGAUGCUUGUGAAAAAUCCUACUCUCUUCGAUGUACUGGUGAUGCCCAAUCUCUAUGGAGAUAUAAUCAGUGACCUUUGUGCAGGACUGAUUGGAGGGCUGGGCUUAACUCCUAGUUGCAACAUUGGUGAAGGUGGCAUCGCUCUAGCAGAAGCCGUACAUGGGUCAGCCCCUGAUAUAGCUGGAAAGAAUCUUGCAAACCCAACUGCUCUCUUGCUGAGUUCCGUUAUGAUGUUGCGCCACUUGAGGCUUACUGACAAAGCUGACCAAAUCCACAAUGCUAUACUUAAUACCAUUUCAGAAGGAAAGUAUCGAACGGUUGAUCUUGGUGGGAAUUCGUCAACUACAGAUUUUACAAAGGCAGUAUGCGAUCAUCUUUAGAAAGUUUGUGGCAGCACACCCGGAUAACUGCGCAAGUGACUACAUUUUAAAAGCUUGAGCUGUGUUUUCUCUUGUGGAUAGAUGGAGUAUGCUCGACAACAGGAACUGCUAUUAGGAUGGUACCAAUCAAAAUAGCGUUUGUUGAAGCGUGGAAAAGCAAUAGAGGGGCUUCUCGCGACGACUCCCUCCACGCCAUGGUUCGAUUUCUGUCCCGACGACCAAUGGUGAAUCACAGGAGCAUAUGGGUCGAUUUCUGUCCCGGGAGUUUGUCAAGCUAAUAAACAACGACAGUCAUUUUGGUUUAGAAUGGUGAGGGAUAUGUUCAACCAGAGACGUGCUUUUGACGAGUUUAUUUCAGAGAAUUUUUCUUCCA